UAAAUACGUCCCUAGUUCUUCCGAUAAACACAUCAUGUAUCGGAAAAUCAUUUAAAUACUAGCGAACUCUUAUCUGUUUAAAUUUAUUUCACCAAACCAAAAAAGUCCAUAUUUUUCCUCCUAGCACUUAUAAAUGUAUAUAUAAUAAUUCGCGUUCAAAAAACGCAAUGUUUGUUGUAACGCGUGGUAAAUAAAUAAAACGUUUAAAAUCACUGAAUUGUGAACAAACGAACGAGCGUGACGGAACACACUCACACACAACACGUUUCCCACAUGCAUACAUCGAAAUAACAUACGAAUCGUUGUAGCUACACGAAUGUGACAAGAUUUAUGAGGAAAAAACUGUUAACGUAAAGUAUGCAGUGACGAUGCUAACUUUUAGUAAGCCUAUCGUUAACAUUGUGUAUUUAUUAUGUGGUCACAAAUCGUAUAUUUGGCGUAUAACUGGUUGAUCGACAACCUGAUGAGAGAUCUCAAGAUACUGUUGUCUGUGCACAGAAUAUUCAAUAUUUGUCAAACAAAUUAUAUUUUAUUAUUAAAUGUAUUUAAUUUGUAGCGAGUGUACCAACGACAUCCUGUUCAUUAUAAAGCGUCUCUGAUGUUAUACAUGCUAAAGUCUGUGAGAAUUCAUGUGUUAUGCAAAAAGUACGAUACAGAUUAUGAUGAAUCCUUACAGCGACGUAGUUUACACACCAGUCUAAGACAUAGUCUAUACCGCAUCCCCUCCCUCCGUGGACUUACUCCUGGACCACAUCCCGGCAUUUGUAUCGUAUGUGAAAUCACGUGACAUACACUAUACAGGCCGCUGACAGUCGGGUCACUACAUACAUGUCUCUCUGAUUCUAAUUACGAAGUUCAUGCGGACAAAGUUAGGGGAAAAAUUUAGUAAAAAUUAUAUUUUAUAAGCUUAAAACUCCGAAAGAUCUAAUCUUAUAAUUAUUCCAAUUAAAAAGUUACCUUCUUUCAAGCGCAUUAAUCUUAUUUAAAUUAGUUUGUUGACCUUUAAAGUUUAAUUAAUUUAAAUCAGCACCUCGGCGAGGCUUGUGUACACCGAGUAAGUGUGUUAGAAACGUGUCAGGACACGUACAGAACAAAACGUAUACAUCAAAUACAACUGAAUCAUCGUCACAAAUAAUAUGAGAACGAAAAACUAAACAAACUUGUAGAAAAACAAAAAUAUACGAGUGGCGUGAGGUAAUGUUUGUUGAACUCAUACGGAUAGUUGAAUUUGGACGGCAAAUACACUCGGCCGCGUCAGGAUGGAGUCACGUUUGUUGUGUUUAUAGAAGACACGUGAGCUGUAGAAAAAAAUGCCUGAUGAUGAAGCACCACGAGGGGAGGUAGAUGAUAUACAGAUAUACUAGAAGAUCAGAAGAUAUUUCAAGUAUACAAGUGUGUUGCUCUUUAGAUACUUUCCGCACAAAGCGAAGACAAAAAUGCAAGCCAUUAUAUAUCGAUACAUCUUUUAAUCAAAAUUGAAAUAAAAUAAUAAAGUCAUAAUUUUAUUAAAACAAUAUUCACAGUAACGCAUACUUACUUAUAUUUAUUUCACACAUACAGAUAUUUAAACACAUUUUUAUAGCUCGUUAUACAAACGACGUAAGCGAUAAAUUGUUAGUUAGCGAUACUAUAAAAAUAAAAAAAAAUAUGUCGUUUUGACACAGAUCAGGAUUCAUUGUUUACUGUAACGUAAAUAAAGGAAAAGAAAAGAUGGCGGCUGAGUGAACACGUGUCCAACACGGAUAUCCGAGAACAUUUUUGGGCCAUUACUUUCAUAAGCGGAAUGUAGUUUUUCAGUCACAUUAAUAAGUUUCGUGUUCGUUGUGUAUAAUAUAAUGACUAAAUAACUACAAAUAUCCUGUAACAAUGGCUUCAAACAUACUCGCUUUUACACAGAAGAAAUUAGUUCAAGAAAAACAUUGAUGCUGUAUGCUGUAUAACAAACAGGAUAAAUAAAAUUGUCUUACAAAACCUAUAUAAGUAUAAAUUGUUCGAAUAAAUUAAAUUAUACAAUGUUCCACGAGUAAGACGAAUCCGUAAUAUUCGGAUUUCUCAACACAUAAGUCUAAUCUUCUGAACGCCACCUUGCUUUACUAAAUCGCAAUAAAAAUUCACAAAUAACCGACAUAAGUUUCAAUGAAGCGAGUAUAAAGUACAUAUAUCCUCAUAUAUGUUUGCACAGUACUUUUCGAAGUGUUUGCUCUGCAAAUAUUAUGUUACCUACUGUCCAUACACUCGUGUUAGUAUAUACCUGUUACCUGGAAGAAACUUUGUACUAUACUUACACAUACAAAAAAUGAUUGUUUGUUUAUAAUUAAGAACGAUCAUGACGCAAGUAAGCAUUUAACAAUAACAGUUGACUUUUGACAGACGCAAAAAUGACAUACGAAUAUUAGAAAAAUGGCGCGAAAAUCACAUUGAUUUGUGUUAUAUCUGUAUGUGUAAAGAAUUAUACAUUUAUACAAAUAAAAUAUACAACAUCUAUACAAUACAGUUAGAAAACAUUAACGAAUUAGAUCUAAGUAUUUGGUGUUCUUUUCUUACAGCGGCUUUUAUUUUGCGUUCGCUCGCUGAUGUAACGUGCUAACUGCCAUUUUAAUAGUAACGUUUAAAAAUAAGGUUUAAUAGAAAUAUAUAAAAACACGUUGUAUUUUUCAAAUUCUCGGUCGCCAUUUUGAUUGAGAGGACGCAAAAUAAAAGCGAAAAUAUUAAUUACAACUAUACUACUUCAGAUUCACCUUAGAAUAUAUCAUAUUACUAUUAAUAUUUAAUUAUGUAUAACAUUGUAGACCAAUCUGAAAUUAUUAAAUAUUAAGAAAUAUUAAUCAUUUAUAUGAGUUGAUAUAAUGUUACAUUGAAUUUAUACAAAAUUAUUACAACAGAAAGGUUGCAUACUUUCAUAAAUAAUAAAAACAUUUUUUAUAUAUAUUUUUUUGUAUAGAUAUACCACUACACUAUAAUAAUAUAUAUUACAUACAAAUCAGUUAAACAUAUCUAUUACACUAUUAUACUAUUCGUAUAUAAAUAAGACAUACAUAUUAUAUCAAUUAAUAGUUAGUGUCUUAAUAAGUACGUGCUAUAUAAUUAUUAUAUUUUGUCAACUUUUCUUACGUAAUUUUGCACAAAAUUUAACACUCAAGUUUAGUUACAAUUGUAGUAAAGGAAAACUAAAAAAGUUUUAGUAGAAAGAACAUCCAAAAUACGUAAUAAUUGUUGUCUAUAAUGUUGGGUCAGAGGUAGGCGAAGUGUGUUUUAAAUAUUUUAUCUAUUUCAUUAAAUCUAGUUUUUGUAAAAUCAUUUUCACUACAGCAAUAAAUACAGCAUGUAUAACAGAUGUGGCAUAGAACCGUUCAGCAGCUAAAUAUAAAUAAUGUUAACUAUUUAAAACAAAUAUAACAUCCAUGAAUCGUCGGAAUAAAUUUUCCUAAUCAUUAACGAUCUGUCUAAAUCGCACGAGAGCGUACAAUUCAUCACAAAAUAAUAUAUCGCGUCCUUGGUACAUUCAACGCAAGGUUAAUUAGGAACGGCCAUUAAUCUAACUUUAAUUAAAAGUUAAUACAAAUACUGUCCGCACUUGUCAACUCUGAUAUUGGUUUUCCCCAUCACUAUAAUCAUGGCUAUAAUUUAACUGUUAGUUGUAAAUAACAAAUUCGUCACGCUAAAUCUGUUAGAAUCUGAUGCGUUGUUUUUUAGCAAAAAAAAAAAUAGGUGAUAAAUUGUUUGUCACGAAAGUUUGUUUAAAGACAAAUUCAAGCUACGCGUUUCGAUUAUAGGAUUUUUGGGAACAGAAUAAAAAGUGUGCUUUAAGCUAUUUUUCUAGUAACGUAAUGUACGUUAAAGGUUUUAGUUAAUUACGUUAUUAACACGACAAUUUGUUUUAAACUAUUAUUAUGACGAUUUAAAUGUUUUUUGUUCAUUAUAAAUUUAAAUUACAUAUAAACAACGAUCUUAUUGACUCGAGACUAUCUGCUUAAUGUUUAAUCAUUACCGGUUCAAUAUUGCACCUGUGUUUACUUACUGUUAUAUGUUAAAAUAUAAUACUUAGCUUUACGCUCGGAUGAUAGUAAAAUAGUUAUUAUUUU